rnacentral:rRNA from 1 species
CACGCAGGCGGACCGACAGGUCGUUUGUGAAAGGCGAGGGCUUAACCCUUGUUUGCGGACGAAACCGUUGGACUGGAGUACCGGAGAGGUGAGUGGAACUCCGAGUGUAGAGGUGAAAUUCGUAGAUAUUCGGAAGAACACCAGUGGCGAAGGCGGCUCACUGGCUCGGUACUGACGCUGAGGUGCGAAAGCGUGGGGAGCAAACA